rnacentral:rRNA from 1 species
AUACGGAGGAUCCAAGCGUUAUCUGGAAUCAUUGGGUUUAAAGGGUCCGUAGGCGGGUUUGUAAGUCAGUGGUGAAAGUUUUCGGCUCAACCGGAAAAUUGCCAUUGAUACUGCAAGUCUUGAAUCAUUAUGAAGUGGUUAGAAUGUGUAGUGUAGCGGUGAAAUGCAUAGAUAUUACACAGAAUACCGAUUGCGAAGGCAGAUCACUAAUAAUGUAUUGACGCUAAGGGACGAAAGCGUGGGUAGCGAACAGGAUUAGAAACCCGGGUAGUCC